rnacentral:rRNA from 1 species
AUUGAACGCUGGCGGCAGGCCUAACACAUGCAAGUCGAACGAGUGGCGGACGGGUGAGUAAUGUCUGGGAAACUGCCUGAUGGAGGGGGAUAACUACUGGAAACGGUAGCUAAUACCGCAUACCAUCAGAUGGGCCCAGAUGGGAUUAGCUAGUUGGUGGGGUAACGGCUCACCAAGGCGACGAUCCCUAGCUGGUCUGAGAGGAUGACCAGCCACACUGGAACUGAGACACGGUCCAGACUCCUACGGGAGGCAGCAGUGGGGAAUAUUGCACAAUGGGCGAAACCCUGAUCCAGCCAUGCCGCGUGUAUGAAGAAGGCCUUCGGGUUGUAAAGUACUUUUAGCAGGGAGGCGUUACCUGCAGAAUAAGCACCGGCUAACUCCGUGCCAGCAGCCACGGUAAUAC